rnacentral:rRNA from 1 species
UGGGGAAUAUUGCACAAUGGGGGAAACCCUGAUGCAGCGACGCCGCGUGAGCGAAGAAGGUUUUCGAAUCGUAAAGCUCUGUCCUAUGAGAAGAUAAUGACGGUAUCAUAGGAGGAAGCCCCGGCUAAAUACGUGCCAGCAGCCGCGGCAAUACGUAUGGGGCGAGCGUUGUCCGGAACUAUUGGGCGUAAAGGGUACGUAGGCGGUCUAUUAAGUCAGGUGUGAAAGCGUGAGGCUUAACCUCAUUAAGCACUUGAAACUGAUAGACUUGAGUGAAGGAGAGGAAAGUGGAAUUCCUAGUGUAGCGGUGAAAUGCGUAGGUAUUAGGAGGAAUGCCGGUGGCGAAGGCGACUUUCUGGACUUUUACUGACGCUCAGGUACGAAAGCGUGGGGAGCAAACAGG